rnacentral:lncRNA from 1 species
UUACAUUCCAGGCUGUUGUAUAUACGAAAAGCCGCGAAGGUUCGGCGAGUCUGACUCGGAGUCGAGCGACGACGAGUGCGAACACUGCUUCGGGCAUGUGGAGCGACGCAAACAGAAGCAGCAAGAAAGCACGUCCACGGAUGUACAGGAUGCAGCAUCGCCCGAGCCGUCAGCGUCCAUCACGUUGCGGGCAGGGAAGCCCCCAGACAAACUGUCACCGCCCAGCUAAGUCCAACUAGUAAUGUGCUCGAGCACGAAUUUGGGACACGAAUGCCCUCAAAUUAGUAUUUACUAAAAUGUUAAAAUCACUAUUCCUUGUAAUUGUUGUUCCAUCGUGGAUGAAGAGGUGUUUUUAUAUUUAAGACGGUUGCUAACUGAUUAGCUUAGUAAAUAUACAUUAACGGUUUUAAAACUUGAAUUUUAAAUAAUUGAACGUGGAAUAGGCACAAAAACAUUCACAUUUCGAAAGUCUGAUAAUUUUCGAAUGUUUGACAGUUCCUGGUCGCCAUAUUUAUUUUAUAUGUACUGUCAUUACCACUGUCAUGUCAAAUGCAAUGACACACCAUUUAUAGAAAACUAUAGAGUCGAGCAAUAAUUAUUAAAAAAAAAAACUUAUAAAGGUCCGGACAUAUUGCUCCAAAGGUCUGGUUAUCUAUCUACACCUUCGUUUUGCAGUUGAUGCCACAAUAUGUUUACUAAAUAUUUUCCAUUUUUUACUAAAUUCACCAACUUUGAGGGCCGUACGUAAAUUACAGGUGGUCACAUUUGGGUUGUCAAUACCACCUUCGCAUGUGUGACAUGAUAUAUUUUGCAAGUAAAUGAUAAUUUAAUCUAAAUUCCAUGAACUUAUGUGACAUCAUGAAGCUUGUAACUCAUCUUUUCUCCGUGUCAUCAUCAUUAUCAUCACAACUUUUUACCCUAAAACCAAUUAUUUUGUGUUGGCACGGCAUGAUUUUAUCAAAUGAAUAUUGGAGAAAUUGGCUUUGAGUAUGAUAGAUUCUUUACCAUGUGACGUAAUUUAUGAACGGCCAUCUUCCCACCAACAAUACUAGUAACAAAGUAAUAUUGAUGGACAAAACAGUAUUAACUUAUUAUCGAGUUCUCUUGUAUAGUGUAAUCUUAGAUUAUAGAUAGAGCAUCGAGUAUCAAAAACAGGUUAAAAUUGACUCGGCCUAAUGUCACUUUAGCUGACUCAAUUUUGACAGAUAUUUUUUU